rnacentral:rRNA from 1 species
UACGUAGGGUGCAAGCGUUGUCCGGAAUUAUUGGGCGUAAAGAGCUCGUAGGCGGUUCGUCGCGUCGGCUGUGAAAACCCGGAGCUCAACUCCGGGCCUGCAGUCGAUACGGGCGGACUAGAGUUCGGCAGGGGAGACUGGAAUUCCUGGUGUAGCGGUGAAAUGCGCAGAUAUCGGGAGGAACACCGGUGGCGAAGGCGGUUCUCUGGGCCUGACCUGACGCUGAGGAGCGAAAGCGUGGGGAGCGAACAGG